UACGAGGGGGGCAAGCGUUGUUCGGAAUUAUUGGGCGUAAAGGGCGCGUAGGCGGUGCGGUAAGUCACCUGUGAAAACUCUGGGCUCAACUCAGAGCCUGCAGGCGAAACUGCCGUGCUUGAGUGUGGGAGAGGUGCGUGGAAUUCCCGGUGUAGCGGUGAAAUGCGUAGAUAUGUGGAGGAACACCAGUGGCGAAGGCGACUCUUUGGCCUGUAACUGACGCUGAGGCGCGAAAGCGUGGGGAGCAAACAGG
rnacentral:rRNA from 1 species